GUGAUGGACGAUGAGUGUUGGAGCAGAAAAAUACAUUUACUCAAACUUAAAUUUAAUCUUGAGGUACUUAUACUUAGCUUGAGUGUUCCAUUUUAUGCUACAGUACUUUCCCACUUCAGUUCAGAGGGAAAUAGUGUUUUUACUUCACUACAUUUAUCUGACAGAGAGCCAAUAGUUAGUAGUUACUUUACACAUUUAGAUUUUACUAUGUGAUCAUCUUAUAACAUAUAAUGAAUUGAUAACCCAAGGCAUGCCGUUGGGGGGGUCAAAGGGUACAGAUAACCCCAGCCCAAAGGGGGCCCAUACAAAGGUCUAUAUGGUGCAAGCGUGCGUUUUGUCUGUCUGUCCAUAAUUCCUGACGGCUAUCUUCAUAAACUAUCUCCUAAAAAAAACCCGCUUGAAACUGACAGCUAUCUGUGCGGGAGAGACCAGGCCACACCGUCUACCUGAGCAACGCUUGUGCUCCGCGGACCUAUUGCCUUUCAUUUCGGCGCCCAUAUUAAGGUUAAUACCCAUGGAUAGCCUAUCAUAUUAAUACCACAGUGGGAGCGUCUCAAAAGCUGAGCGUCUUGCCUGCCCGACCCGCAGAUUUUGGAGUUUUGUUAAUUUCCCCUUGAUAUUUGGGCUUCUGCCAUAAAAGUAAGUAGGCCUAGUAGUUAAAUGGCUUCCUACAUUUAGUCCCGUGAUGAACGACACGGAUUUAAUAUGUGUUGCUGUGUUUUAGUUGUUAAAAUAGUGUAGGUUAUUACUACUUUUAAGGAUACUUGAGUAGAGGAUAUGAAUCACAGUGGAGAUUACUCGACUGACGUCCAACUGC